rnacentral:rRNA from 1 species
UACGUAGGGGGCAAGCGUUGUCCGGAUUUAUUGGGCGUAAAGAGCGUGUAGGCGGCCUUUCAGGUCAGCUGUGAAAACUCGAGGCUCAACCUCGAGACGUCGGUUGAAACCGUUUGGCUAGAGUCCGGAAGAGGAGAGUGGAAUUCCCGGUGUAGCGGUGAAAUGCGCAGAUAUCGGGAAGAACACCCGUGGCGAAGGCGGCUCUCUGGGACGGUACUGACGCUGAGACGCGAAAGCGUGGGGAGCGAACAGG